AUACUUACCUAGCAGGGAAGAUACCAUGAUCACGAAGGUGAUUUUUCUAGGGCAAGUCUUGUCUAUUGCACUAUAGAUGGGCUGACCCCUGUGAUUUCCCCAAAUGUGGGAAACUCGACUGCGUAACUUGUGGUAGUGGGAGAAACUGUAUUUUCACUCUUCCU
rnacentral:snRNA from 1 species